GAGGCAGAUACAGUUACCAUCUCCAUUUUACAGAUGAGUUAAGUAGUCCAGAGAGGCUAAGUGAUUUUCCCAAGAUGGUACAGCUCAUAGGUGCAAGACAGCCUGGCUGCGGAGCACAUGUUCCCAAACAUUAAACCACACAACUUUCCCAGUAGCCCAGUUGUGAUGGAAGAGAUCUGUUUAUCAGUCAGCCUCCUUCCUUAGUUCGUGAGCUCUGAUGUGAAAGGGUAUGUCAUUUAGGAGAUUUGGGGCUACAAACAAAGAAACCCCAACUCAGAGUAGCUUAAACCAUAGGAAGUCUAGAGGAAGGACAUUUCCAGAGUUGAUUAACUUGGGGGCUUGGUGACAUUAGCAAGGAUGCAGGUUCUUUCCAUCUUUCUACUCUGCCUUCCUGAUUGUGUGAACUUAGUUCCCCUCGCAUUAACAUGACUUCCUCAGUUCCAGGCCUCCCAUCCAGCCUUGCCAUAUCUUUCUUGUGUCUCUGUAAGAGUACAGAUAUAUUUUCCAGAAACCUCCCACUGGGCUUCCCCCGUAACGUUCACUGGCCAGAAUCGUCUCACAUGCCUAUACCUUAACCAGUCACUGCAAUGAACUGAAAGCACCAUGACUGGUUUAGCCCAAUCAGGAUUCGGCAUCCCUUAAAGGUCAAAGGCACAGAGGAUGAAGAUGGAGACCUGCCAAGAAGGAGGAAAGGAAGGUGGAGGAUGAAAAGAAGACAACAAACAUUCCCUGAUGCAGGUGUGAAGGAAGAUCUGAUGCCCAAUCACUUAUUCCUCAGUCCUUUGGCCUUUACAUGUGGGCAAUAAAUGUCUGUUGAACUAAAUUAUAGUACAGAAAUUCAUGUUUCCAAAUGCCCAGUCCAGAAUUCUUACCAUCAUACUCUGUAAUGAGGACUGAAAUAUGUGUUAGCAACUGCUCUAAAAUUUACUAAAUUGAUUCACCAGUGCUCCAACCUUUAGAUUCGAGUCUUUAACACUAGUGCCUGCAGGAACGUUUGCAAAGCAGGUCCAAAAGAGAGCUAGGUGGAAUAACGAGAAUCGUAAAAAUAUUAGUCUCACCAUAAUUUACAAGGUUCGUGUCAACUAUGACUUUCUUUCCAGAAACACAAUAUGUUCUUAAAAGUGGGACUUGUUCUAGCAGGUAGGUUAAUUGCAUUCAAAGAUUAUUCUAUUUCCUGACCUCCUUCUAGCUCUCCAGUAGGAUUUAUCUGGAACCAGGCAUCAAUAUACCCGCCCUUGACAGCUGGGAAUGUGAGAAUGAGAUCACUUAAGCAAUUUUUGGAAGACCCAGAUCAUAGUCAAAUAGAGAUACCAAGAAAAGGAAACUGAUGCCCAACCAGAAACAUAAUGUACCCUGGGGUAGAAAAGAUGGGAAGGAGGGAGUGUCUUAGUUCAGGCUUACUAUAACAGAGUGCCAUUGGCUGGGGUAGUUUAAACAACAAACAUCUGGCCAGGCACAGGGGCUCACACCUGUAAUCCCAGCACUCUAAGAGGCCAAGGUGGGUGGAUCACUUGAGACCAGGAGUUUGAGACCAGCCUGGCCAACAUGGAGAAACCCCGUUUCUACCAAAAAUACAAAAAAAAAAAAAAAAA
ensembl:lncRNA